rnacentral:rRNA from 1 species
AUUGAACGCUGGCGGCAGGCCUAACACAUGCAAGUCGAACGAGUGGCGGACGGGUGAGUAAUGUCUUGGAAACUGCCCGAUGGAGGGGGAUAACUAUUGGACACAGUAGCUAAUACCGCAUACUAUCGGAUGUGCCCAGGUGGGAUUAGCUGGUGGGGGGGGUAACGGCUCACCUAGGCGACGAUCCCUAGCUGGUCUGAGAGGAUGACCAGCCACACGGGAACUGAGACACGGUCCAGACGCCUACGGGAGGCAGCAGUGGGGAAUAUUGCACAAUGGGCGCAAGCCUGAUGCAGCCAUGCCGCGUGUAUGAAGAAGGCCUUCGGGUUGUAAAGUACUUUCAGCGAGGAGGCGUUACUCGAAGAAGAAGCACCGGCUAACUCCGUGCCAGCAGCCGCGGUAAUUC